rnacentral:rRNA from 1 species
UACGAAGGGGGCUAGCGUUGCUCGGAAUCACUGGGCGUAAAGCGCACGUAGGCGGCUUCUUAAGUCGGGUGUGAAAGCCCUCAGCUCAACUGAGGAAGUGCGCCCGAAACUGCAGAGCUUGAGUACCGGAGAGGAUGGCGGAAUUCCCCAAGUAGAGGUGAAAUUCGUAGAUAUGGGGAGGAACACCGGUGGCGAAGGCGGCCAUCUGGACGGAUACUGACGCUGAGACGCGAAAGCGUGGGGAGCAAACAGG